UACGUAGGGUGCGAGCGUUAAUCGGAAUUACUGGGCGUAAAGCGUGCGCAGGCGGUCUUGCAAGACAGGUGUGAAAUCCCAAGGCUCAACCUUGGAACUGCCUUUGAUACUGGGGAUCUCGAGUCCGGAAGAGGUGAGUGGAACUGCGAGUGUAGAGGUGAAAUUCGUAGAUAUUCGCAAGAACACCAGUGGCGAAGGCGGCGUCCUGGCCCAUUUCUGACGUUCAGACAUGACAGCAUGGGGAGCGAACGGG
rnacentral:rRNA from 1 species